AAAUAUGUUACUUUCUUCACAAACAGGAUGCAUGCACCAUUAGCAAUUAUCUAAAUGAACAUAACUCAUUGUGUAUGUGAAACACUUAAAAAGAAUGAACUUAGGAUUUCACACAUUGUGUAUGUUACUUUCUGAAGAAUUGGCUACAUAUCAUGCAUUAACAGAAAAUUAAUAAUUGCUCUAGCUUGUCUGCUGACUGCUGAGAGUUAUUUAUAUCGUAACUACGUUUGCUUUGCAGGAUUCCAAAACGCAGACUCGCCCUGUUGUUCCUUUUGGAAUAUUCGACCCGCCCUUACAUGUGUACCUGCAUCAAGUCUGUGCAAAGAUAGAAGCAAAUAUGUCUUUUGGGAUGAGUACCACCCCACAGACAGUGCUAAUGAGCUAAUUGCAAAUGAACUCAUCAAGAAAUUUGGACUUUCAAAUACUAAUCAAGGAAGUGUACCUUCCCCAGCACCUGCUGUUGCUCCAUCCCCAGAUGACCAAUGAUUCAGGGUUUUAUUGCCUAAUGCUUGAAUUGCCUGUCGAAGCAAGUAUCUUCAUGUUCCAAGACCAGUGUUCCUGUCAGUUAUAGUGUUAUACAUAAUUUCUUGUUAGAAAAUAACAAAGAAACUUUUGAUAUCUCCUUUUAUUCUGCAUCAAACAUGUAGCCCACCAGUUAAUUAUGAAAUACUGUAUUAUCUUCUUCAAAUUGAGCCACUUUGGUCUUUUGAUCAGGUUCAAUAAAUUGUUUUUGUUGAACUGCACCAUUUCCAGAAGCCUGCAGCUUAGCAGUAGCCAUUUAACUUUUUAUUCCCUUAUAGAAAUUUCUUAUCUUUUAACCUCAAGAACAAAUUGGCCACUGAUUCAUAAACAUUCCUAAUCAAAGAAUGUUCAGUAGCUCACUGCAAUCAUUUCAGCAUGAGAGUAAUUGCGCAUGGUGAUGGUAGACACACACACACACAUAUUGAGAGAGAGAAAGUACAAUAUAUUUUUGCAGUUGAAGAUUGAAAUUUUUUUGUCAUGCACGGAUGCACCUGACUUCAGAGGAGAUCUGAGUUAAUUCUGAACUUCUGAUAUGGAUGAAAUUCCACAAAUGUCUUAACCGAAAAGUAUUAGCGCUAAGGUUUGCAUUUAUAAGUGAAAACUUACAAGAACCUUCAGGUAUAUUAAUUUCUUUGAUACUAAAGAGAAGGAAAUACACAAAAGUUAACUGCUAAUCAUGAUUAGUUUACCAUACCCCCCAAAUUAAGCUUUACCUUGCAAAGGAUUGUGUUGUGUCUGUCUGUGAUUUUAUCGUUUACAUUUUAUUUAGACUAGCAAUGCUUAGCAGAAUGACCUAUUGUUACCGAUUGAAAGAAUGACCAAAGAAAGAGAAUUGUAUGUUAUAGAAAAAAUUUAAAGGCUGAAAGAGUUAAGCUAAACAAUCUUGAUGAAAUCACAGACAGACACAAUCCUGAUAGCCAAAGACGUAUUGGAUAAGAAAUAGUGCAGGACUCCAAUAUCAUAUUGAUUUGUUUUGGGAAACUGACACUGACUUGAUCAGUAAUAAGGAAAUUAAUCCGCUAGCUUUUGCUUUAGAUGAAAAAACUAUCUAGAUUAUAAAAAAUACAGCACUAAGUUUAUACUUAAUAGAAAACAAGACACAACUUUAACGUGGACUUGUUUCAUAUAUUAAUCCCUGUGGUAUUUUAUUGCAAAGAGAUUAUGUAUCUACAUUAGAAUAUGGUCUCUGUGAGACGUCCUGUUAUAGGCUUACACCUGAACGC
rnacentral:lncRNA from 1 species